AACCUAUGAUAUACUUAUAUCUGUGAUGCCACAAAUCACAAUUUUAUUUAUUUUAAACUACUUAGGU
rnacentral:tRNA from 1 species